GGUCUCGUAGCUCAGUGGUUAGAACAUCAGAUGAUCCUACUUCAAUGGAGAGUGUUAUUCCGAAAACCAGGGUUCAACUCCCUGCGAGACUG